rnacentral:lncRNA from 1 species
GAAGGAGGUUUUAAAUCCAAGGUAAGGAUAACAUAUUUUUUCACAUUAAAAUUGACAAGAUUUCAAGUUUCAUAACUCAUUUGAACAGAAUAAUUUCAUCUAUAUAUUGCAUAGGAUGGUUUUUUCUGCUAAACGCUUCAUGAAAAUAACUAUUGUUGAUUAGUUGUUUCAUAACUUUAUAUUUUAGUCUUUGGUGGGUCAAACAUGCCCUCAAAAUUACUAAGAAUAAUAUCGGAAAAGACUAUAUUUAUAAUCAUGAAUAGUUCAUAUUAUCAAGCCAAGUUUGGUCAACUAGGUCUUAUAUUGCUAUUGUUAUUAUUUUUAUUUUUAUUUAAAUUUCAGUUGUUAUCACAAUCGUCCCACUGGUCUUUGAUGGACAUGGGCUUUGUAGACGUGAGGGGGCUGCCGGUGGCGGGCGCGAGAGGCGAGGCCCAUCAAGAUAUCCGAGCGAUUCGUACGCAAUGCGACGGGUGCUCGUGUUGCGUCAGAGGCUCUCUCCCAUAUGCAUACGUAGCGAUACGGACUUGGAUUGCGGUCCGAGGUCUGACAUGGGCUUGUCGGGAAGUAGCUUGUCGCAUGGAGAACGGCAUCACUCGUCGAACGAGUGGCAAGUUAUGUAAAAAUUACGAGAUCCAGG